AUGAAGGAGGCCGCGACGGAUCUGGGGCACCUGCUGGUGUUCGCCUUCCUCUUCUGCGUGGGCGCCUUCAUGGUGGCGCCGGUGAUCACCGACGUGACCAUGGCGGCGCUCUGCCCCGGCCAAGACCAGUGCUCCCUCGCCAUCUACCUCACCGGCCUGCAGCAAGCCAUCACCGGGCUGGGGGCGCUCGUGGUGACGCCGGUCAUCGGCAACCUCUCCGAUAGAUACGGCCGCAAGGCGCUGCUCGCUCUCCCGGCGACCUUGUCCAUCGUUCCACUGGCCAUCAUGGCUUUUAACCAGACGAGGCCGUACUUCUACGCCUUCUACGUCGCCAAGACGCUGACGGCGAUGGUCUCCGAGGGCGCCAUGAUGUGCCUCUCCCUCGCCUACGUGGCCGACAAGGUGCCGGAGGGGCGGCGAGCGGCGGCCUUCGGGGUGUUCUCCGGCGUCUGCACCGCCGGCUUCGUAGGCGGCACCAUCGCGGCCCGCUUCCUCUCCGUGUCCUCUACAUUCCAGGUGGCGACGUUGGCGUCGGUUGCUGCGGCGGUAUACCUGAGGGCCUUCGUCCAGGAGACGGACCGCGGAGCCUCGCUGCUGCGUGACGAGGAGGCCUCGCGCCUGCUCUUCCCUCCCUCCUCUAGCCCCGAGGAGGCGUCGCCGAGGCUCCCGCCUCUCCGGAAGGUGCCGUCGCUGUCGGAGAUGGCCACCCUUCUUACCAGCAGCUCAACUUUCACGAGAGCAGCGGUCGUCACAUUUUUCCACGGCCUUGGCGAAACAGGCCUGCAAACUGCAUUACUGUAUUUCCUGAAGGCCCAAUUCCACUAUACCAAGAACCAGUACGCUAAUUUGUUGCUUAUUAUUGGCAUUACAGGAAGUUUCUCACAGCUGACCGUGAUGCCUCUCUUAGCGCCGAGGCUGGGUGAGCAGAAGCUACUUGUCGUGGCACUUACAGGGAGCUGCGUGCAUGGAUUCCUAUACAGCAUUGCAUGGUCAUUCUGGGUUCCUUAUCUUGCUGCAAGCUGUGUGAUUCUAAGCAUUUUGGUCGGCCCUUGUAUAAGGAGCAUUGUAUCAAAAAAAGUAGGGCCUUCUGAGCAGGGAAUGGUUCAAGGCUGUAUUACAGGAAUCAGCUCAACUGCAAGUGUCAUAUCUCCUCUAGUUUUUACUCCGCUCACAGCAUGGUUCCUAUCAGAGACGGCACCUUUCAACUUCAAAGGUUUCAGCCUGGCUUGUGCUGGAUUUGCUACGUUGGUGGCACUCACAAUGAGCAUUAAUAUGAGGCCAGCAGAGGUUCAGCCAGAUACCAGAUAG
rnacentral:rRNA from 1 species